GUAGAGCACCGUGACAACAGUAGAGCACUGUGGCAGCAGUAGAGCACUGUGGCAACAGUAGAGCACUGUGGCAGCAGUACCACGUCCUUGUAAGCACGGUUAUACAUUUGGUGUUUAAUAUCCCACACAACUUAGUUUGUAUUUGGUGUAAUUGUAUUUUCAAGGUAAUACCAAAUUGCCGUUGACCUUUGACAUCUGAGGUCAUAAAUAUAUGCUCUUCUAUUUUUUUAAUCCUCCACCCAAAAACAAAAAUACUCCCUUUGUUCAGAAGCACUUCCCCUGUCUUUGUAAGAGUUUGUAUUAUUAUUACUAUUAAUAUUGGGAUAUGAACAAUAGACUUUGUAACAUCCUGUUGUGAUUUCCUUGUGUUAGGCAGCACCACUCUGUUUUUGAGACAAAUCCUUAAUCCUCACAAGAUAAUGACUAUGUAAUCCCGAUUCCCAGAUGAGGGCGUUGGUGAAAAGACAUUUCGUGGCCAAAAUAAAUUCUACUGAAGACAAAAGACAUGACGUCAGACUCAUUAAAAUACAGGACGAUUAGAAUAAAGAGAGCAUGAAGAAGACAAGUCCACUGACUGUCCAAUCCUUAACACAAUGAAUAAAUCGUGUUAUUUUAUAUCAAAAAUGUAUAUAUAUUUUUUUAAUGUCUUCUGAAUCUCAUAUUUGCAAGCCAAGCUUCACCUACAGUAUUGUGCUUACACUCACCCCAGAGCCUACACAUACACCCACAGAAACAUUCAGCACUUCUAUGUGCCAGGCUGAACUGUGUGGAAAUGAUUCAUGUUCCUGAAAUAUUUCACAGCAUAAUUAAUAGUGUUUUAAGAUUGAAUUAUAAUAAUAACGAAUGCGUCGUCACGACUUGUGCAAUGAUCUUUCUCUUUAUUUCACCACCAAAUAAAAUCGAGGAAUAUAGCUAAUUGUUAUUCAAAUUAUAUUGAAAUAGUGAGUAUAAUCGGAGGGAUGCAGUAAAGCAUCCCCGAUGCAUCAUCUUCAUGAAUAUGCGUUUUCUUGAGAAACAGUCUCAGAAUCUUCUUCUCAGCAUGACUCUGUUUUCAAAAGGACUGGUUCAUGGUCAUCACAGUCCUGUGAUCCUCAUCAUCCUUCCUGGAAACUUAAGAGAGUCAGAGCACAGCAGUGCUGGUCCUUAAAACACACAAAUACACACAAACACCAACAGAAGGACUGUGGUCUGACUAAAGAGUGCCUCUCUCCAUCUUUCUCCCUUUCUCGAUUACUCUAUCUCUCACUCCACCUCUGUCUUUCUCUCUCUCUCUCCAGCUCUCCAUGACUCCUCUGCCUCUCUCAUAUUCCCUCCCUUCCUCUCUCCCUAUCUCCCUUCCUCUAUCUCUGUGUGUGUGAGGUUACUGGAUGCCCACCUCAGGCUACAGGCCAUCCCUCCUACCACUUCAACCUUCAAUCAUGCAACCCCAGGGGGGGCCCCCGAAAGGAGUAAAGAGAACAAGCCAUGCCCACCCUGGUGCCAUUGUCUGAGAUGAGGCAGGCUCAGGGCCCUUGGCAUGCAGUGGAGAGCUGGUGUAUGUCUGAAGGGAAGGCAGGCUCAGGGUCCUUGGCAGGGAGUGGAGAGCUGGUCUAUGUCUGAAGGGAAGGCAGACUCAGGGUCCUUGGCAGGGAGUGGAGAGCUGGUGUAUGUCUGAAGGGAAGGCAGACUCAGGGUCCUUGGCAGGGAGUGGAGAGCUGGUGUAUGUCUGAAGGGAAGGCAGACUCAGGGGCCUUGGCAGGGAGUGGAGAGCUGGUGUAUGUCUGAAGGGAAGGCAGACUCAGGGUCCUUGGCAGGGAGUGGAGAGCUGGUGUAUGUCUGAAGGGAUGGCAGACUCGGGGUCCUUGGCAGGGAGUGGAGAGCUGGUGUAUGUCUGAAGGGAAGGCAGACUCAGGGUCCUUGGCAGGGAGUGGAGAGCUGGUGUAUGUCUGAAGGGAAGGCAGACUCGGGGCCCUUGGCAGGGAGUGGAGAGCUGGUGUAUGUCUGAAGGGAAGGCAGACUCGGGGCCCUUGGCAGGGAGUGGAGAGCUGGUGUAUGUCUGAAGGGAAGGCAGACUCAGGGUCCUUGGCAGGGAGUGGAGAGCUGGUGUAUGUCUGAAGGGAAGGCAGACUCAGGGUCCUUGGCAGGGAGUGGAGAGCUGGUGUAUGUCUGAAGGGAAGGCAGACUCGGGGCCCUUGGCAGGGAGUGGAGAGCUGGUGUACGGUACACUGGAGUACUCAUUAUGCCUCUGUAGGGACUGUACUCCAGGGCAUCCAAUGUGUUGCUGAGCAGCUCAUUAGGGAGCUCUGCUGCAGCCCAGAAGCGCGAGGAGCACCGGAGAGAUAAGGAAGGGGAGGGCUGCUCAUUACGGAGCUCUGCUCCAGCCCAGAAGCACGCGGAGCACGAGGAGUACGAGGAGCACGAGGAGCACCGGAGAGAAGAAGGAAGGGGAGGGCUGCCACAUCACACUUAAUCAGGAGACACCUGUAGACACCUGCACCUCUUUGCCUCUCGUCAUCCGCCCUCCUCAUCUUCAUCCUCUUCCUCAACCAAUUGGUUGGUUUGGAUGUGGUUGUCUACACCUUCUGGGACUGCAUGCAAGGCUUGCUUGUUUUAGUGAAGAAAUAAGGAGAUACAUUUAAACAUAUUGGAUAAUACCAAUUAUGCAAAUUAUACUUAUAGUGUGACAUGUCCUCUAAACCUCCUGGUGAAGGAAGGAGAUAACCAGAAUCUGUCAAUGUCCUCCUUCAUAUAUAUAUAUUUGUUUAACCUUAAUUUAACUAACCUGUGGGUUUAUAUGACUUGUUCCUCUUCUGGACCAAGAAUCACAGUUGUCUAAUGGAUCGAAGAAUGAAGACUUAACUGAGGCAUCAGCACUGUGACGCGCAUAUACAGAGUGGAUCAGGAUAAACAGGUUGACACAUCGUUGACACUGAAUUAUAGCAAAUUAGGGAAAAACUUCCAUUAUCGAGGGAAGAAGACAUUGCUACCCUAUUGCAUCCUUAAAAAGCACGAGGACUGACAAAUUCCACAAGCACAGGGAAGAGAUUAAAACUCUAUCACAUUCUCAAACUGUAUGUAUACUGCCUAAUUCUGCUGAAUAAUUACAUCUUGUUUUAAACAUAACCUUAUUAAGUUUACUUUGAUUAUAAAGUCAUAACCCUGUCUUACUCUUAGAUAGCUAUGGUAAUAAACACAGUAUACUGUGUAUAACAGAUUAAUAUUGUCAUACAAAUAUAUCUCAUCUAUGCGCUUAAGAUUCCACAGAUUAGAUCCAACAAUAGUUGGGCUAUUUAAAACCAUGCUCUGAUAAGCCUGACUGUCAGAGUUCUGCAAUGUAAACCACAACUAGAUCCUUUGGAAUAAUAAUAAUAAUAAUAAGUUACAGUUUACCAGAACAGUUCUCAUGUGUUUGACACUGGCAAAAUCAUCCCCCCCCCCUUCCGUUGAGUAUAUUGUACUGUCAUGAAAAAUAAUAACCACGAUAUGUGCAAGGUUUGUCAAAACAAAUCAAAUGUCAACAAAAGUAGAGAUUACUUUGAAAUGCUUACUUAAAAACCAUUUCGCAAUGACGCAGAGUAAAACAAUAAGAUAAUAAAAAGGCUAUACACACUACAAGGUGGACCGGUAUUGAGUCAAUGUGCAGGAGUAUGAGGUAGUUGAGGAACUGAGUCAAUGUGCAGGGAUUCAUGGUUGCUGAGGUACUGGGUCAAUGUGCAGGGGUAUGAGGUACAGUAGUUGAGGUACUGAGUCAAUGUGCAGGGGUAUGAGGUAGUUGAGGUACAGAGUCAAUGUGCAGGGGUUCAUGGUAGUUGAGGUACUGAGUCAAUGUGCAGGGGUACGAGGUAGUUGAGGUACUGAGUCAAUGUGCAGGGGUACGAGGUAGUUGAGGUACUGAGUCAAUGUGCAGGGGUAAGAGGUAGUUGAGGUACUGAGCCAGAUGAAUAUCCACUGUCCUGUAUUUCAGAUGAAUGUCCACUGUCCUGUAUUUCAGAUGAAUGUCCACUGUCCUGUAUUUCAGAUGAAUGUCCACUGUCCUGUAUUUCAGAUGAAUGUCCACUGUCCUGUAUUUCAGAUGAAUGUCCACUGUCCUGUAUUUC